rnacentral:lncRNA from 1 species
UAUGCUAAAUUAAGAACUGAGAGAUGAAGAAAGAGAAAUACACAUUAUUAUAUAUAAUUUAUAGCGUUUAACGAAAAAAGAGAAAUACUGUACACAUGAUUGUAUACAACUUUAUGACUUCCAGAGGUAUUAGUGAACUAGCAUGUUCCGCAUCCAUUCUUAUGCAUUUGAAACCAAAACAAGAGUGAGAAAAAGAAGCUUACGUGUGGUAUGGUAUGUGACUAGAACGACCAAUAGUCUAAGAUUAUGUCCACUUUCUCUUCAACUAAGAAAUCAACGGCAUGUUUCUAUAUAUACACAAGUCUGCUACAAGAUCACACUUGCGGUCAGUCUCUUAUCCGCAUGCGCGACACUUCC